rnacentral:rRNA from 1 species
UACGUAGGGGGCAAGCGUUGUCCGGAUUUAUUGGGCGUAAAGCGCUCGCAGGUGGUUCGAUGCGUCGUGCGUGAAAGACCCCGGCUCAACUGGGGGGUGUCGUGCGAUACGGUCGGACUGGAGGCCAGUAGGGGGAUGCGGAAUUCCGGGUGUAGUGGUGGAAUGCGUAGAGAUCCGGAGGAACACCAGCGGCGAAGGCGGCAUCCUGGUCUGGUCCUGACACUCAUGAGCGAAAGCGUGGGGAGCGAUCCGG